rnacentral:rRNA from 1 species
GUGCAUCGCGCGAGCCUGAUCUACAAUGCCGCGUGAGUGAAGAAGGCCUUCGGGUUGUAAAGCUCUUUCAGUCGAGAAGAAAAGGUUGUGACUAAUAAUCAUAACUCAUGACGGUAUCGACAGAAGAAGCACCGGCUAACUACGUGCCAGCAGCCGCGAUAAUA